rnacentral:piRNA from 1 species
UGAAGCAGCCAGCACAUCCAAUUAGU